rnacentral:rRNA from 1 species
UCGAUUAGAUACCCCGGUAGUCCCAGCCGUAAACGAUGCUCGCUAGGUGUCAGGCAUGGCGCGACCGUGUCUGGUGCCGCAGGGAAGCCGUGAAGCGAGCCACCUGGGAAGUACGGCCGCAAGGCUGAAACUUAAAGGAAUUGGCGGGGGAGCACAACAACGGGUGGAGCCUGCGGUUUAAUUGGACUCAACGCCGGACAACUCACCGGGGACGACAGCAAUAUGUAGGCCAGGCUGAAGACCUUGCCUGAAUCGCUGAGAGGAGGUGCAUGGCA